rnacentral:rRNA from 1 species
UCUGGGACAAGCCCUGGAAACGGGGUCUAAUACCGGAUAACACUCCUGCCUGCAUGGGUGGGGGUUAAAAGCUCCGGCGGUGAAGGAUGAGCCCGCGGCCUAUCAGCUUGUUGGUGGGGUAAUGGCCCACCAAGGCGACGACGGGUAGCCGGCCUGAGAGGGCGACCGGCCACACUGGGACUGAGACACGGCCCAGACUCCUACGGGAGGCAGCAGUGGGGAAUAUUGCACAAUGGGCGAAAGCCUGAUGCAGCGACGCCGCGUGAGGGAUGACGGCCUUCGGGUUGUAAACCUCUUUCAGCAGGGAAGAAGCGAAAGUGACGGUACCUGCAGAAGAAGCGCCGGCUAACUACGUGCCAGCAGCCGCGGUAAUACGUAGGGCGCAAGCGUUGUCCGGAAUUAUUGGGCGUAAAGAGCUCGUAGGCGGCUUGUCACGUCGGAUGUGAAAGCCCGAGGCUUAACCUCGGGUCUGCAUUCGAUACGGGCUAGCUAGAGUGUGGUAGGGGAGAUCGGAAUUCCUGGUGUAGCGGUGAAAUGCGCAGAUAUCAGGAGGAACACCGGUGGCGAAGGCGGAUCUCUGGGCCAUUACUGACGCUGAGGAGCGAAAGCGUGGGGAGCGAACAGGAUUAGAUACCCUGGUAGUCCACGCCGUAACGUUGGGAACUAGGUGUUGGCGACAUUCCACGUCGUCGGUGCCGCAGCUAACGCAUUAAGUUCCCCGCCUGG